rnacentral:rRNA from 1 species
CGAACCUCUGGUGUUCCAGUUGUCGCGCCAGCGGCAUAGCUGGGUAGCUACGUUCGGAAUGGAUAACCGCUGAAAGCAUCUAAGUGGGAAGCCAACCUCAAGAUAAGAUAUCCCUUUUUCGUGGAAACACGGGAACUGAAGACCCCUCGUAGACGACGAGGUUGAUAGGCCAGGUGUGUAAGUGCAGUAAUGCAUUGAGCUAACUGGUACUAAUCGGUCGUGAGGCUUGGCCAUAAAA